AUUUUCCCGAUACGGACGUGUAGACAUUUAAUUUCGUAUUUUUUUCAUUUUUUAUUAAUUAUGAAAGGCGAGAAUAUGGAAAAUAUACCGUAAAAGAUUUAAUUGCUUCCAAAAAACUAUAAAAUUAAUAAAACUAACCGAAUUGUUGGCUAAAAUACCCGUUAACGAAAUUUUUUUCAACCACCAAGACGCAUGGCAAUGUGUGUAAAGUGACGAAAACGAAAAAAAAAUGCAAAAGAUAAAACGUGUAUGUAUGUUUUGCAACUGAAAAUCAUCAAUUAAUGAGAAAAUAGAAAUAUAUUGAACUUUUUGGAUAAAGCGCGCGCUUGCACGAGUAAAUAAAUAUUUAGUUAAGUUCUACGGGCAGAAAAAAAGUUUGGGGUCCAUAACUUGCAAAUAUAGAAUUAGCGGAGAAGAAAACAAAAACACGAAGGACAUUCAAGGAGAAUGUAAAAAAGAGCAGUAGACAAGACGCAACAUUCAAUCACUUUUGCUUCUUUUCUGUGUUUUUCGGCAUUUUACAGCCAACAACACAGAAGAGGGCAAAAACAAAGAAGGCCGUUCGGCAGGUACCAGACAAACGUGGCUUUCACCCGAACGAAAUUUGUUUAUUGAUCAAAUUCCAAAUCCCAACGGAUUUAAAGAAUUUGUUUGCAUUGGAAUUAACUAAAUCGCAAAAUUCCGCCACAAACACCCGCAUCAACUACCUCCAUGCCGGUAUCGGUGGUUUGUGAAACGACGGCAAAUGUUAAUGCCGCUAUAAGAGAGUCUCUUGGUAACGGGGGUGGCUGUUCAACUUCAAGUACUUCGGUGAGCGAUGACGCUAAGGCAAUUGCCAACGUCGGUUGCUCUGUUGCAAAAUCUGAUGAUGGUGAAAGCCUUCAAAAUAAGUUAGUUGCCUCUGCAAAAAGAGUUUUGUUAUCUAAACUUGAAUACGAGGAGGUUAACAACUAUGGCCAAGCGGUAUUGGAUAAUCUUAAGUCCAAAUAUAUAGUUUUGAAACCGUCUGGUCAUAAUAAUUGCAGCAACAACGAAAAUGGAUCUGCUUCACCCGCUGCUUGUAAUCAAAACAACACUCAAAAUGGCGCAAAUGGUGACGGCGGCGCAGCCGUGCGGAAGCGUGUAAACAAUCCCAAUGAACUGCCGCAGCCUAAACGUAUAUUAUAUCCACGUGGGAACGUGCGCAUUGGCUGGAAGGCCGCGGGGCACAAAUGGGACGUAGGUGUGGGAAUGAUUAACCUUGGCAACACUUGCUAUUUGAAUUCUACUCUACAAGCAUUGUUUCAUGUACCUUCAAUGGCCAACUGGCUUAUGUCUGACACAACACAUAUGGACCGUUGUGAUAUCGCUGAUGCUGGCUGCAUUAUUUGUGCCAUGGCCAAAACGUUACACGCCUCGCAAACCAGUCAAUCGGCAAUAAGGCCAUACUAUGUGUACUCCAAAUUAAAGAGCAUAUGCAAACAUUUAGUAGUGGGUCGUCAAGAAGACGCUCACGAAUUUCUACGUUAUCUGGUGGAAGCCAUGGAGAAGUCAUAUCUUUUGCGUUUUCGUAACUAUAAAGAAUUAGAUCAGUUUAGCAAAGAAACAACACCGCUUAACCAGAUCUUGGGCGGUUACUUGAAAUCGGCCGUCAGAUGUUUAGCCUGUGACCAUGUGUCGGUGACCUUUCAGCAUUUUCAAGACCUUCUUUUAGACAUUCGUAAAGCAGAUACCGUUGAAGAAGCAUUAGAAUGUUAUUUCUCGCGCGAAAGACUGGAAGACAUGGGUUAUAAGUGCGAGUCGUGUAAAAAGAAGGUUUCUGCCACUAAACAGUUCUCUUUAGAGCGAGCACCUAUAGCAUUGUGUAUACAACUAAAACGUUUCUCUAUGCUGGGGACAAAACUUAUCAAACAAAUUUCCAUUAAGCCCCGCUUGGACCUAACCAAAUACCUUUCUCGCAAAACAUCCGAACAACAACUUACAUACCGUCUUGUGGCAAUGGUUACUCAUUUGGGUGCCUCUCAGCAUUGCGGUCAUUACACUGCCAUUGGCCUCACUGAUUCUGGCACUUACUACAAUUAUGAUGACAGCUACGUGCGACCCAUACCUGUACAAGACGUUUGCAAAACUAAUGCUUACAUAAUAUUCUAUGAAAUGGACACGCAACCGCAGCGUGUAGCCAGUAGUACCCAAAUAAGUGAAACACAGACGGCAGAGAAAGAGUCCGCACAAUCAGUCAAAGUUAAUGGUCAUGUGUUAGGAAACAAUACACAGCGCAUGAUUGGUCCUCAAUUGCCGCCGUCCGGGCUACCUAAUUAUCCACACACCACCAACGGUUCUGCAUUAGCUUCGCUUACAAAUGGCGGCAAGCUCAGCGUAAAUCGAGCAUCCGCGAUAUCCCGAUGUAGUAGUAAUUCAACCAAUAACUGUAAAAUCGCUACACAAUUUAAAACUAACAUAAGCAAUAACGUCAAUCCCCUUUGCGGUAAAACUAGUGCAGCCACAUUCCUAAUCACUAGUGCCUCAGUAACUUCGACUUCGAAUAGUUCCAGUUUUGCGGGAUUGAAAAAUAAUGAUGUUACAAUAAAUAAUAACGUUCACCACGGAAUGGCAAAUGAAAAAUAUCAGGAAUCUUCGCCCGCGAAGUCUCUACUGGCCAACACAACAAAUAAAAGGCAAACUGCAAAUGCUACAAAAGAUAAAGAAAGUUCCUCCUCCGAUGAUGAAGUUGAAAUUGUAAGCUCUUCAAAUUCUUCGAUGCAAGUGGUCACCCCACAAGCAGUACUGCCAAGCAUGCCCAAGUUGGGCGCUGAAGUAACAACUAGCACCAAGAGCCCCAAUCCGUCAAUUAACAAAUCGUCACAACCGCCUAUAGCCACUAAGAAUAUUACAUGCAAUAAAAAAUCGCAACCUGCCCCUUUAAAGUCUUUAGUACCCUACGGCUCAGAGACGGAUGAUGAAGCUGAUGCUCCGAGUGCAUUAUCACCUGCAAUUUCCACACCGGCGGAACAGCUACUACUACAACAACAACAACAGCAGCAGCAGCCACCAAAACGAUUAGCGCCUAACUCCUCAAAGCGACAUCAAGGCAAUGCUGCAUCGAGCAAUAAUUGUAGCAGUAAUUCCAAUGAUAAUAAUAAUAAUAAUAAUGGUGAUGAUGAUUCUAAUGCUAAUGACCCCGAAAACAAACCUACUAAAGGUUCAAAAAUGAAGAAGGCUGCCUCAACCACUACCAUAUCGAAUCUAGCGCUAACAUCAAAAUCACCUGUCAAAUCAAUAGAUUCCUCGAAGACGAUGAAGCGUGCCGCAACGGACGGCGCCAUCGAUGAAAUCUUCAACAGUACCAUCACAGCAAUAACAAACGGUCAAACGCCGUCGAAGAAAUCACAAUAUAAGUCGCAAAACAAAUCAUUUACAGCGUCGGCAUGCGACUCCUCGUCCGAUUCCGAUGAGAAUAGUAGUCGGCAAAAAUCAAGUAAUACGACAAGACAGACAUUAAAAAGACCUCAUUCAACGCCACCUUCACCGCCCGUUAUUAAAUCAAAAGUUGGCAAUUGGCAAGUGACAACAAUACCAACGUCAACAGUCGUGACUUCGUCGUGUACAUCAUCCGUGACAGCGGUCAAUGGAACCGUCACCGAGAAACCAGUCAAAAAUCCUAAAAAUCCAUUUGCUGGUAACAAACAUCCGAUAUCUCAUGAAACGAAACGAUCUAAAAAGGAGACAACAAAUAAAAAAUUUGCUGGUAACGGUUAUCAACGAGACACAUCGAGUGAUAGUGCCGUUAGUGAAAUGCUCAAACAAUCGCAUCGUGGUUAUGGGGCUCCAGUACUCAGCUGGAAUGGUCGGCCAGCCGAAAUUGAAAAAGAGAUUAUAGACGAGGCACGCGAACAAAGGCAUCGCGAUAGGCAAUAUGAUGACGAAAAUGACAUAGAUCGUGGACGUCAAAAGAAAAUGAAAUCACAGAUUAACAACUGCCGCACGCCCGAUUUUAAUCCAUUCCAAGAACAGGAAAAUCAAAAACGUUGGCGACGGUUUCAUCAGAAUUCUCAUCAUCAUCAUCAUCGUCAUCAUCAUCAGCAGCAUCCUUAUAUCGGUGUUGGGAAUUUUCGUCGCAAUUUUCAACGUAAUAAAUUUAAAUUUCAACAAUUCCAGCAUAAAUUUCCAAAGCGUAAUUUUGCAACCCUUAACGUAUUGCAUACACGACGUGACUCUUAACUAGAACUUUCGGUGGCCGAUAAAAUCAUAUACUUAAGUCAUAGUCGCAAAGGUGACAUAUUAUUGCUAAGUAUAUUUCACUUAUUAUACCGAACAAUAAUAAUAUACGAAGACACAAAGAGCUUUUGUAGGAAUGCUCUAUUCAUUCUAAUCCUAAAUGCGGAAGUUAAAAAACUUACAGUCUUAAGGCCACACACAAUUUAUUGAAUUUAUUGGCUUGUGUUUUGAUUAUUGUGAUGUGAUUAGGUGAAUGAAGUAAAUGAGUGAGUGAGUGAAUGAGUGCAUGAGAUGAUUCAACUUUCUUUAGUUUAGUCAUUUAUAAUUAAUAUUAUUAUUAUUGUCUAUUAAUGUCCUACAACUAUUAUUCUUAUUAUUAAAUGUAUUAUUAAAUCUACAAUUGAUACACGGUUGAUAAUAACGGACAUCAAAAAAUAGGAACGAGUUUUAUCCUAAACAUACAAAAACAAAAGAUCUUAUAGUUUUUUUUUUUUAUUAUUAUUAUGAUUAUUAUUAUUGUAUCAUUA